rnacentral:lncRNA from 1 species
GGUGGUCUUUUUCCUUUCGUUUUUCGGGUAUUUUGAGGCUGGAUUUGGACUUAGGGGGUCGAAACCUAAGAGGGGAUACCUUUUUACCCUCGCCGGCCACCGUGAAUGGUGGCACCAACGCCGGCCACCGACGGCCAGCACGGUGGCUAGUGACCGGACUCUUGGCCGGAGAGAUGAACGGAGAAGGGGAGAGGGAGAGCAUAUCAGUUGUUU